AACGACUCUCGGCAACGGAUAUCUCGGCUCUCGCAUCGAUGAAGAACGUAGCGAAAUGCGAUACUUGGUGUGAAUUGCAGAAUCCCGUGAACCAUCGAGUCUUUGAACGCAAGUUGCGCCCACAGCCUUCCGCACGAGGGCACGUUUUUCUGGGCGUCAAGC
rnacentral:rRNA from 1 species